rnacentral:rRNA from 2 species
UGGGGAAUAUUGCACAAUGGGCGAAAGCCUGAUGCAGCAACGCCGCGUGAAGGAAGAAGGUCUUCGGAUCGUAAACUUCUGUCCUUAGGGAAGAUAAUGACGGUACCUUUGGAGGAAGCCCCGGCUAACUACGUGCCAGCAGCCGCGGUAAUACGUAGGGGGCAAGCGUUAUCCGGAAUUAUUGGGCGUAAAGAGUGCGUAGGUGGUUACCUAAGCAGGGGGUGAAAGGCAAUGGCUCAACCAUUGUUAGCCCCCUGAACUGGGCUACUUGAGUGCAGGAGAGGAAAGCGGAAUUCCUAGUGUAGCGGUGAAAUGCGUAGAUAUUAGGAGGAACACCAGUGGCGAAGGCGGCUUUCUGGACUGUAACUGACACUGAGGCACGAAAGUGUGGGGAGCAAACAGG